rnacentral:rRNA from 1 species
AUUGAACGCUGGCGGCAGGCCUAACACAUGCAAGUCGAGCGGAUGAGAGAAGCUUGCUUUUCGAUUCAGCGGCGGACGGGUGAGUAAUGCCUAGGAAUCUGCCUGUUAGUGGGGGAUAACUCGGGGAAACUCGGGCUAAUACCGCAUACGUCCUACGGGAGAAAGUGGGGGAUCUUCGGACCUCACGCUAACAGAUGAGCCUAGGUCGGAUUAGCUAGUAGGUGAGGUAAUGGCUCACCUAGGCGACGAUCCGUAACUGGUCCGAGAGGAUGAUCAGUCACACUGGAACUGAGACACGGUCCAGACUCCUACGGGAGGCAGCAGUGGGGAAUAUUGGACAAUGGGCGAAAGCCUGAUCCAGCCAUGCCGCGUGUGUGAAGAAGGUCUUCGGAUUGUAAAGCACUUUAAGUUGGGAGGAAGGGUAUUCACCUAAUACGUGGGUACUUUGACGUUACCAACAGAAUAAGCACCGGCUAACUCUGUGCCAGCCGCCGCUGUAACAC